rnacentral:rRNA from 1 species
CCUGAACGCUGGCGGCGUGGCUAAGACAUGCAAGUCGAACGGACCUAGCAAUAGGUCAGUGGCGGACGGGUGAGUAAUGUAUCGCUAAUGCACCCUAGAGCCAGGGAUAGCUGCCCGAAAGGGCAGGUAAUACCUGAUGAAAUGCCUUGAUCGCAUGAUCGGGGGCCUCAAAGCAGCAAUGCACUCCUGGAGCAGGCGAUAUCGAUCAGCUAGUUGGUGAGGUAACGGCUCACCAAGGCGACGACGCGUAGCCGGGCUGAGAGGUUGACCGGCCACAUUGGGACUGAGACACUGCCCAGACUCCUA